rnacentral:rRNA from 1 species
UUGCUUCUCUUGAGAGCGGCGGACGGGUGAGUAAUGCCUAGGAAUCUGCCUGGUAGUGGGGGAUAACGUCCGGAAACGGACACUAAUACCGCAUACGUCCUACGGGAGAAAGCAGGGGACCUUCGGGCCUUGCGCUAUCAGAUGAGCCUAGGUCGGAUUAGCUAGUUGGUGGGGUAAUGGCUCACCAAGGCGACGAUCCGUAACUGGUCUGAGAGGAUGAUCAGUCACACUGGAACUGAGACACGGUCCAGACUCCUACGGGAGGCAGCAGUGGGGAAUAUUGGACAAUGGGCGAAAGCCUGAUCCAGCCAUGCCGCGUGUGUGAAGAAGGUCUUCGGAUUGUAAAGCACUUUAAGUUGGGAGGAAGGGCAGUAAAUUAAUACUUUGCUGUUUUGACGUUACCGACAGAAUAAGCACCGGCUAACUCUGUGCCAGCAGCCGCGGUAAUACAGAGGGUGCAAGCGUUAAUCGGAAUUACUGGGCGUAAAGCGCGCGUAGGUGGUUCGUUAAGUUGGAUGUGAAAUCCCCGGGCUCAACCUGGGAACUGCAUUCAAAACUGACGAGCUAGAGUAUGGUAGAGGGUGGUGGAAUUUCCUGUGUAGCGGUGAAAUGCGUAGAUAUAGGAAGGAACACCAGUGGCGAAGCGACCACCUGGACUGAUACUGACACUGAGUGCGAAAGCGUGGGGAGCAAACAGGAUUAGAUACCCUGGUAGUCCACGCCGUAAACGAUGUCAACUAGCCGUUGGGGAGCCUUUGAGCUCUUAGUGGCGCAGCUAACGCAUU